UACCAGCACCCCGAGUGGUCGGGACGAUUAUUGGGCCUAAAGCAUCCGUAGCCGGUUUUACAAGUCCCCCGUUAAAUCCAGCUGCUCAACAGAUGGGCUGCGGGAGAUACUACAGGGCUAGGAGGCGGGAGAGGCAAGCGGUACUUUAUGGGUAGGGGUAAAAUCCGCUGAUCCAUAGAAGACCACCAGUGGCGAAGGCGGCUUGCCAGAACGCGCUCGACGGUGAGGGAUGAAAGCUGGGGGAGCAAACCGG
rnacentral:rRNA from 1 species